rnacentral:rRNA from 1 species
CCUACGGGAGGCAGCAGUGGGGAAUAUUGCACAAUGGGCGCAAGCCUGAUGCAGCGACGCCGCGUGAGGGAUGACGGCCUUCGGGUUGUAAACCUCUUUCAGUAGGGAAGAAGCCGCAAGGUGACGGUACCUGCAGAAGAAGCGCCGGCUAACUACGUGCCAGCAGCCGCGGUAAUACGUAGGGCGCAAGCGUUAUCCGGAAUUAUUGGGCGUAAAGAGCUCGUAGGCGGUUUGUCGCGUCUGCCGUGAAAGUCCGGGGCUCAACUCCGGAUCUGCGGUGGGUACGGGCAGACUAGAGUGAUGUAGGGGAGACUGGAAUUCCUGGUGUAGCGGUGAAAUGCGCAGAUAUCAGGAGGAACACCGAUGGCGAAGGCAGGUCUCUGGGCAUUAACUGACGCUGAGGAGCGAAAGCAUGGGGAGCGAACAGGAUUAGAUACCCUGGUAGUCCAUGCCGUAAACGUUGGGCACUAGGUGUGGGGGACAUUCCACGUUUUCCGCGCCGUAGCUAACGCAUUAAGUGCCCCGCCUGGGGAGGUACGGCCGCGAGACGAACGUACGAAGAAGUAGACGCGUAGACGNGCGAGACGACGACGAGGGAGAGG